AGCGAACGCUGGCGGCAGGCUUAACACAUGCAAGUCGAACGGGCAUCUUCGGAUGUCAGUGGCAGACGGGUGAGUAACACGUGGGAACGUACCCUUCGGUUCGGAAUAACUCAGGGAAACUUGAGCUAAUACCGGAUACGCCCUUUUGGGGAAAGGUUUACUGCCGAAGGAUCGGCCCGCGCCUGAUUAGCUUGUUGGUGGGGUAACGGCCUACCAAGGCGACGAUCAGUAGCUGGUCUGAGAGGAUGAUCAGCCACACUGGGACUGAGACACGGCCCAGACUCCUACGGGAGGCAGCAGUGGGGAAUAUUGGACAAUGGGCGCAAGCCUGAUCCAGCCAUGCCGCGUGAGUGAUGAAGGCCUUAGGGUUGUAAAGCUCUUUUGUCCGGGACGAUAAUGACGGUACCGGAAGAAUAAGCCCCGGCUAACUUCGUG
rnacentral:rRNA from 1 species